rnacentral:lncRNA from 1 species
UUUGACAAUAGAGGAUUGAAGCUGAGAUGGAACAAACUGGAAGACAAAUGGGCAAAUGCCUCAAAAUAUAGAUGGCAAAGGCUAUGCGAGGUCGCAGGCUGCGCGAGGCAGCAAGGGGCUGCAUGAAGGCUACAAGAGGUUGCAGGAAGCUCCAGGAGACUACAGGAAGCUCUAGAAGGCUGCAAGAGAUUGCAAGAAGCUCCAGGAGGCUGCAGGAAGCUCUAGGAGGUUGCAGGAGGCUGCAGAAGGUUGUGCAGAGACAACAAUCUCCCAAACGAGCAAGAGUCCUCAAGAUAUCGACGGCAUAGAAACCACAAUAGUGGCGAUCAAGGAAAACCCGGAUUGAACCAUGAUCGAAACCGAUUGAGCACGUAGCAAUGACUUUGGGCCACCAGUUGGCAACAAUGAACAGAUCGGAAAGAUCCGAGCCUAAUGGUAUGUUGAUGAACGCAAAUGAACAAUAGCAUACAGAACAAAGGCGACGACAGAGACGGGUGGUGGAGGAAAAGAAGAAGAAAAGAUAAAAAAGUGAAUAAAAAGAUGAAGGAAAAAAAAAACCCGCACAAUAUUCCGUAGCCGGAAGCGGAAGCGGCUAACCAAAAGCAACCUAGCUCUGAUACCAAAUAGAAAUUUAGAAAAGCAUAAUAUUAUUAAUCACACUCCUCUCAAUAUAUAUUACAUCCUAUAUUCUAAGUAAGGAAAACUAAAUAAGUAGAAUAAUCAGAAAAUCAAUAUGGUCAAUAUGACC